rnacentral:rRNA from 1 species
GACGAACGCUGGCGGCGUGCCUAAUACAUGCAAGUCGUACGCUUCUUUUUCCACCGGAGCUUGCUCCACCGGAAAAAGAAGAGUGGCGAACGGGUGAGUAACACGUGGGUAACCUGCCCAUCAGAAGGGGAUAACACUUGGAAACAGGUGCUAAUACCGUAUAACAAUCGAAACCGCAUGGUUUUGAUUUGAAAGGCGCUUUCGGGUGUCGCUGAUGGAUGGACCCGCGGUGCAUUAGCUAGUUGGUGAGGUAACGGCUCACCAAGGCCACGAUGCAUAGCCGACCUGAGAGGGUGAUCGGCCACAUUGGGACUGAGACACGGCCCAAACUCCUACGGGAGGCAGCAGUAGGGAAUCUUCGGCAAUGGACGAAAGUCUGACCGAGCAACGCCGCGUGAGUGAAGAAGGUUUUCGGAUCGUAAAACUCUGUUGUUAGAGAAGAACAAGGAUGAGAGUAACUGUUCAUCCCUUGACGGUAUCUAACCAGAAAGCCACGGCUAACUACGUGCCAGCAGCCGCGGUAAUACGUAGGUGGCAAGCGUUGUCCGGAUUUAUUGGGCGUAAAGCGAGCGCAGGCGGUUUCUUAAGUCUGAUGUGAAAGCCCCCGGCUCAACCGGGGAGGGUCAUUGGAAACUGGGAGACUUGAGUGCAGAAGAGGAGAGUGGAAUUCCAUGUGUAGCGGUGAAAUGCGUAGAUAUAUGGAGGAACACCAGUGGCGAAGGCGGCUCUCUGGUCUGUAACUGACGCUGAGGCUCGAAAGCGUGGGGAGCAAACAGGAUUAGAUACCCUGGUAGUCCACGCCGUAAACGAUGAGUGCUAAGUGUUGGAGGGUUUCCGCCCUUCAGUGCUGCAGCUAACGCAUUAAGCACUCCGCCUGGGGAGUACGACCGCAAGGUUGAAACUCAAAGGAAUUGACGGGGGCCCGCACAAGCGGUGGAGCAUGUGGUUUAAUUCGAAGCAACGCGAAGAACCUUACCAGGUCUUGACAUCCUUUGACCACUCUAGAGAUAGAGCUUCCCCUUCGGGGGCAAAGUGACAGGUGGUGCAUGGUUGUCGUCAGCUCGUGUCGUGAGAUGUUGGGUUAAGUCCCGCAACGAGCGCAACCCUUAUUGUUAGUUGCCAUCAUUCAGUUGGGCAUUCUAGCAAGACUGCCGGUGACAAACCGGAGGAAGGUGGGGAUGACGUCAAAUCAUCAUGCCCCUUAUGACCUGGGCUACACACGUGCUACAAUGGGAAGUACAACGAGUCGCGAAGUCGCGAGGCUAAGCUAAUCUCUUAAAGCUUCUCUCAGUUCGGAUUGUAGGCUGCAACUCGCCUACAUGAAGCCGGAAUCGCUAGUAAUCGCGGAUCAGCACGCCGCGGUGAAUACGUUCCC